AAGUUGUUGCGGUUAAAAGCUCGUAGUUCGAGCUCAGUUCCGGACUGGCCGGGGAGGUCACCGCCCGGUGCUUCCCCGUCAGGCUCCGAACAGCCUUCGUGAGCGGAGGCCAAGCCGGUUCUGCCGGGGUGCUCUUUACCGAGUGUCCCGCGCGGCCGGCCAGUUCACCUUGAAUAAAUGAGAGUGCUCAAAGCAGGCUACUCUCGAAUACAAUGCCCGAAUGUUACCUGCAUGGAAUGAUGGAAGAUGAUCUCGGUUCCAUUUUAUUGGUGGUGGGAGCCCGAGGUAAUGAUAAACAGGGACUGUCGGGGGCAUCCGUACUACGACGCGAGAGGUGAAAUUCAGUGACCGUCGUAGGACGAACAACAGCGAAAGCAUUUGCCAAGAAUGUCUUCGUUGAUCAAGAACGAAAGUUAGAGGAUCGAAGGCGAUCAGAUACCGCCCUAGUUCUAACCCUAAACGAUGCUGACUAGCAAUUCGCCGUCGUUAUUCCCAUGACGUGGCGAGACGCCCCCGGGAAACCUCAAGUCUUUGAGUUCCGGGGGUAGUAUGGUUGCAAAACUGAAACUUAAAGGAAUUGACGGAAGGGCACCACCAGGAGUGGAGCCUGCGGCUUAAUUUGACUCAACACGGGAAACCUCACCAGGCCCGGACACCAGAAGGAUUGACAGAUUAAGAGCUCUUUCUCGAUUUGGUGGGUGGUGGUGCAUGGCCGUUCUUAGUUGGUGGAGUGAUUUGUCUGGUUAAUUCCGGUAACGAACGAGACUCUGGCCUACUAAAUAGUCGACGGGCGUUUUGGUGCAUGGGCCCCGUUCGACACAGUCUUCUUAGAGGGAUGAGCAGCGAGUAUAGCUGCAGGAGAUUGAGCAAUAACAGGUCUGUGAUGCCCUUAGAUGUCCUGGGCCGCACGCGCGCUACACUGAAUGGGUUAGCGGGUUGUCCUUCUCCGAGAGGAGCGGGAAAUCGCUUGAAAACCAUUCGUGAUAGGGAUUGGGGCUUGCAAUUGUUUCCCAUGAACGAGGAAUUCCCAGUAAGCGCAAGUCAUCAGCUUGCGUUGAUUAAGUCCCUGCCCUUUGUACACACCGCCCGUCGCUACUACCGAUUGAAUGAUUUAGUGAGGCCUUCGGACUGGCGGUCUUGGACUGGGGCACCGGCCUCAGCAAUGUGUGCCGGUGACCCGCCUAGACGGGCCGGAAAGAUGUCCAAACUUGAUCAUUUAGAGGAAGUAAAAGUCGUAACAAGGUUUCC
rnacentral:rRNA from 1 species